GGGUUGUGAGGUUAAGCGACUAAGCGUACACGGUGGAUGCCCUGGCAGUCAGAGGCGAUGAAGGACGUGCUAAUCUGCGAUAAGCGUCGGUAAGGUGAUAUGAACCGUUAUAACCGGCGAUUUCCGAAUGGGGAAACCCAGUGUGAUUCGUCACACUAUCAUUAACUGAAUCCAUAGGUUAAUGAGGCGAACCGGGGGAACUGAAACAUCUAAGUACCCCGAGGAAAAGAAAUCAACCGAGAUUCCCCCAGUAGCGGCGAGCGAACGGGGAGCAGCCCAGAGCCUGAAUCAGUGUGUGUGUUAGUGGAAGCGUCUGGAAAGGCGCGCGAUACAGGGUGACAGCCCCGUACACAAAAAUGCACAUACUGUGAGCUCGAUGAGUAGGGCGGGACACGUGGUAUCCUGUCUGAAUAUGGGGGGACCAUCCUCCAAGGCUAAAUACUCCUGACUGACCGAUAGUGAACCAGUACCGUGAGGGAAAGGCGAAAAGAACCCCGGCGAGGGGAGUGAAAAAGAACCUGAAACCGUGUACGUACAAGCAGUGGGAGCACGCUUAGGCGUGUGACUGCGUACCUUUUGUAUAAUGGGUCAGCGACUUAUAUUCUGUAGCAAGGUUAACCGAAUAGGGGAGCCGAAGGGAAACCGAGUCUUAACUGGGCGUUAAGUUGCAGGGUAUAGACCCGAAACCCGGUGAUCUAGCCAUGGGCAGGUUGAAGGUUGGGUAACACUAACUGGAGGACCGAACCGACUAAUGUUGAAAAAUUAGCGGAUGACUUGUGGCUGGGGGUGAAAGGCCAAUCAAACCGGGAGAUAGCUGGUUCUCCCCGAAAGCUAUUUAGGUAGCGCCUCGUGAAUUCAUCUCCGGGGGUAGAGCACUGUUUCGGCAAGGGGGUCAUCCCGACUUACCAACCCGAUGCAAACUGCGAAUACCGGAGAAUGUUAUCACGGGAGACACACGGCGGGUGCUAACGUCCGUCGUGAAGAGGGAAACAACCCAGACCGCCAGCUAAGGUCCCAAAGUCAUGGUUAAGUGGGAAACGAUGUGGGAAGGCCCAGACAGCCAGGAUGUUGGCUUAGAAGCAGCCAUCAUUUAAAGAAAGCGUAAUAGCUCACUGGUCGAGUCGGCCUGCGCGGAAGAUGUAACGGGGCUAAACCAUGCACCGAAGCUGCGGCAGCGACGCUUAUGCGUUGUUGGGUAGGGGAGCGUUCUGUAAGCCUGUGAAGGUGUGCUGUGAGGCAUGCUGGAGGUAUCAGAAGUGCGAAUGCUGACAUAAGUAACGAUAAAGCGGGUGAAAAGCCCGCUCGCCGGAAGACCAAGGGUUCCUGUCCAACGUUAAUCGGGGCAGGGUGAGUCGACCCCUAAGGCGAGGCCGAAAGGCGUAGUCGAUGGGAAACAGGUUAAUAUUCCUGUACUUGGUGUUACUGCGAAGGGGGGACGGAGAAGGCUAUGUUGGCCGGGCGACGGUUGUCCCGGUUUAAGCGUGUAGGCUGGUUUUCCAGGCAAAUCCGGAAAAUCAAGGCUGAGGCGUGAUGACGAGGCACUACGGUGCUGAAGCAACAAAUGCCCUGCUUCCAGGAAAAGCCUCUAAGCAUCAGGUAACAUCAAAUCGUACCCCAAACCGACACAGGUGGUCAGGUAGAGAAUACCAAGGCGCUUGAGAGAACUCGGGUGAAGGAACUAGGCAAAAUGGUGCCGUAACUUCGGGAGAAGGCACGCUGAUAUGUAGGUGAAGUCCCUCGCGGAUGGAGCUGAAAUCAGUCGAAGAUACCAGCUGGCUGCAACUGUUUAUUAAAAACACAGCACUGUGCAAACACGAAAGUGGACGUAUACGGUGUGACGCCUGCCCGGUGCCGGAAGGUUAAUUGAUGGGGUCAGCGCAAGCGAAGCUCUUGAUCGAAGCCCCGGUAAACGGCGGCCGUAACUAUAACGGUCCUAAGGUAGCGAAAUUCCUUGUCGGGUAAGUUCCGACCUGCACGAAUGGCGUAAUGAUGGCCAGGCUGUCUCCACCCGAGACUCAGUGAAAUUGAACUCGCUGUGAAGAUGCAGUGUACCCGCGGCAAGACGGAAAGACCCCGUGAACCUUUACUAUAGCUUGACACUGAACAUUGAGCCUUGAUGUGUAGGAUAGGUGGGAGGCUU
rnacentral:rRNA from 1 species